rnacentral:rRNA from 1 species
GACAGAGGGUGCAAACGUUGUUCGGAAUUACUGGGCGUAAAGCGUGUGUAGGCGGCUUUGCAAGUCGGAUGUGAAAGCCCCGGGCUCAACCCGGGAAGUGCACUCGAUACUGGAUGGCUUGAGAUCGGGAGAGGGAUGCGGAAUUCCAGGUGUAGCGGUGAAAUGCGUAGAUAUCUGGAGGAACACCGGUGGCGAAGGCGGCAUCCUGGACCGACACUGACACUGAGGAGCGAAAGCCAGGGGAGCAAACGGG